GUACGGACACCCGAACGGCUGCUAGCAUCACCGCCUAGGUUAGCUGCUAACGAAAGAGCUAGCCAUCCAGCCAGCUGGUCGGCUCACUGUGUGUGAGUCAUGUCGUGGAGCUGGUGGAGGCUCUGACCGUCAGGUAACCUGGUAACCCACCAAUCUGCUGAUGUCACUGCUCUCCAUAAUGAAGUGUGAGUGUAUCCAGCCGCCUUUGUCAAUAAGCAGGAGGGUAAAUUCACAGGAGAUAAGCCGGACAAUGAAAGCCACGGCUGGUUUAAGUAGGACAUCUUUUGUUUGUAGACCUCAACAGAGAUACUCCUGCCUCCUCAAGAGUGUUCCUGGCUUGGUAAGCUGUUAAGUUGUUUUUUCUUAACCAUAGAAAAAGUUCCACAACCAUCAGUUGGCGGUGGGUUCACGGUGCUGCAGAGCUGUUGACAUUUUUGUACCUUUGUUCAUACUGUACGAAGAAAUGUACUGCACGCAUGAACAAAUGAUGAAGCUCUGGUUAUAUUACAAAACACACACACACACACACACACACACACACACACACACACACACACACA